rnacentral:rRNA from 1 species
UCGAGAAUCUUCCGCAAUGCGCGAAAGCGUGACGGAGCGACACCGCGUGAUGGAUGAAGUCCUUCGGGGCGUAAACAUCUUUUAUAAAGGAGGAAAUUUUUGACGUUACUUUAUGAAUAAGGGGCUCCCAAUCUCGUGCCAGCAGGAGCGGUAAUACGAGAGCCUCAAGCGUUAUCCGGAAUCAUUGGGCGUAAAGGGUGCGUAGGUGGUUUGAUUAGUCUCCCGUUAAAACUUCGAGCUUAACUCGAAAAGAGCGGGGGAAACGGUCAAACUAGAGUAUGUGAGAGGUGUGUGGAACUCAUGGUGUAGGGGUGAAAUCCGUUGAUAUCAUGGGGAACACCAAAAGCGAAGGCAGCACACUGGCACAUCACUGACACUGAGGCACGAAACCUAAGGUAGC